UACGGAGGGUGCAAGCGUUAAUCGGAAUUACUGGGCGUAAAGCGUGCGUAGGUGGUUGAAUAAGUUAUCUGUGAAAUCCCCGGGCUCAACCUGGGCAGGUCAGAUGAUACUGUUUAACUCGAGUAUGGGAGAGGGUAGUGGAAUUUCCGGUGUAGCGGUGAAAUGCGUAGAGAUGCGGAGGAACACCGAUGGCGAAGGCAGCCCCCUGGGCCAAUACUGACGCUCAGGCACGAAAGCGUGGGGAGCAAACAGG
rnacentral:rRNA from 1 species